CACACAGUAAACGAUGAAUACUCGCUGUUUGCGAUAUACAGUAAGCGGCCAAGCGAAAGCGUUAAGUAUUCCACCUGGGGAGUACGCCGGCAACGGUGAAACUCAAAGGAAUUGACGGGGGCCCGCACAAGCGGAGGAACAUGUGGUUUAAUUCGAUGAUACGCGAGGAACCUUACCCGGGCUUGAAUUGCAAAUGAACGGCGUGGAGACAUGCCGGCCGCAAGGCAUUUGUGAAGGUGC
rnacentral:rRNA from 1 species